AUUGAACGCUGGCGGCAGGCCUAACACAUGCAAGUCGGGCGAGCGGCGGACGGGUGAGUAAUGUAUGGGGAUCUGCCUGAUGGAGGGGUAUAACUACUGGAAACGGUAGCUACUACCGCAUACCAUCAGAUGAACCCAAAUGGGAUUAGCUAGUAGGUGGGGUAACGGCUUACCUAGGCGACGAUCCCUAGCUGGUCUGAGAGGAGGAUCGGCCACGCUGGGACGGAGACACGGCCCAGAGUCCUACGGGAGGCAGCAGUGGGGAAUAUUGCACAAUGGGCGCAAGCCUGAUGCAGCGACGCCGCGUGGGGGAUGAAGGCUUUCGGGUUGUAAACCUCUGUCGCUAUCGAACGGGUAGGUGGAGAAGAAGCGCCGGCUAACUCCGUGCCAGCCGCCGCGGUAAUAC
rnacentral:rRNA from 1 species